rnacentral:rRNA from 1 species
UACGGAGGGUGCAAGCGUUGUUCGGAAUUACUGGGCGUAAAGCGCGUGUAGGCGGCCGGUUAAGUCUGGUGUGAAAGCCCGGGGCUCACCCCCGGAAGUGCGCUGGAAACUGGUCGGCUAGAGUAUGGGAGAGGAAAGUGGAAUUCCCGGUGUAGCGGUGAAAUGCGUAGAUAUCGGGAGGAGCACCAGCGGCGAAGGCGGCUUUCUGGACCAAUACUGACGCUGAGACGCGAAAGCGUGGGGAGCAAACAGG